UGUAUAACUUAUCCGAACUCUACGCCAUCUCAUACAUGAAAAGAUUUGAUAAGUUUCCAAAACUAACAUCGAAAGUUCUAUUUAGUGCAGUAAAAUAAAACUGCAAAAGGAAGCCGCAUCUGCGCAAGCACUAGGAGCCAAUUUUGACGGACCAUUCACGUGCAUGUCAUGUAUUCGUGCUACCCGGCCCGGCCUAGCCCGGCGAGCCGAGGUGAGGCAAGCGAGCAUGCGCAUGUGUUUCUCUACUUCUUUCUUACUCAGUGUCUAUAGAACACUCUCAUAUUUAAGAAUGUUUCACCCUUAUUGAAGUAGCAAGAUAGUACUAAAGGUUCACAUGUGUGCUUCCCAUGAGGUGAGCUUUUAUGAUU
rnacentral:lncRNA from 1 species